rnacentral:tRNA from 1 species
UCCCUGGUGGUUCAAUGGUUAGAACUCAGGACUUUCACUGCUAUGCGCCCAGGUCAAAUCACUGGCCAGAGAA